rnacentral:rRNA from 1 species
AUAAGCGCACACGGUGGAUGCCUAGGCGGUCAGAGGCGAUGAAGGACGUGGUAGCCUGCGAAAAGUGUCGGGGAGCUGGCAACAAGCUUUGAUCCGGCAAUAUCCGAAUGGGGAAACCCACUGCUUCGGCAGUAUCCUGCAGUGAAUUCAUAGCUGCUGGAAGCGAACCCGGUGAACUGAAAUAUCUAAGUAACCGGAGGAAAAGAAAUCAACCGAGAUUCCCUAAGUAGUGACGAGCGAACGGGGAACAGCCCUUAAGCUGGAAUGGCUUUAGAAAAACAAUCUGGAAAGAUUGGCCAUAGAAGGUGAUAGCCCUGUAUUUAAAAGGGCCACUCCAGUGAAGACGAGUAGGGCGGGGCACGUGAAACCCUGUCUGAAUAUGGGGGGACCAUCCUCCAAGGCUAAAUACUCCUGACCGACCGAUAGUGAACCAGUACCGUGAGGGAAAGGCGAAAAGAACCCCGGAGAGGGGAGUGAAAUAGAUCCUGAAACCGUGUGCGUACAAGCAGUAGGAGCUCGCAAGAGUGACUGCGUACCUUUUGUAUAAUGGGUCAGCGACUUACUGUUCGUGGCAAGCUUAACCGUAUAGGGGAGGCGAAGGGAAACCGAGUCUGAUAAGGGCGCAUAGUCGCGGGCAGUAGACCCGAAACCGGGUGAUCUAGUCAUGGCCAGGGUGAAGGUGCCGUAACAGGUACUGGAGGCCCGACCCCACGUCUGUUGCAAAAGACGGGGAUGAGCUGUGAUUAGGAGUGAAAAGCUAAUCGAACCCGGAGAUAGCUGGUUCUCCUCGAAAGCUAUUUAGGUAGCGCCUCGGACGAAUACUACUGGGGGUAGAGCACUGUUAUGGCUAGGGGGGCAUCGCGACUUACCAAACCAUUGCAAACUCCGAAUACCAGUACGUACUAUCCGGGAGACACACGGCGGGUGCUAACGUCCGUCGUGAAAAGGGAAACAACCCAGACCCACAGCUAAGGUCCCAAAUUCACUGCUAAGUGGAAAACGAUGUGGAAAGGCACAGACAGCCAGGAGGUUGGCUUAGAAGCAGCCACCCUUUAAAGAAAGCGUAAUAGCUCACUGGUCGAGUCGGUCUGCGCGGAAGAUUUAACGGGGCUAAGCAGUGAACCGAAGCUUGGGGUGCAUAAAACUUGUUUUAUGCGCGGUAGAGGAGCGUUCCGUAAGCCUGCGAAGGUGGAUUGAGAAGUCUGCUGGAGGUAUCGGAAGUGCGAAUGCUGACAUGAGUAACGAUAAUGCGGGUGAAAAGCCCGCACGCCGAAAGCCCAAGGUUUCCUUGCGCAACGUUAAUCGACGCAGGGUUAGUCGGUCCCUAAGGCGAGGGCGAAAGCCGUAGUCGAUGGGAAGCAGGUUAAUAUUCCUGCACCUCGCGUGAGUGCGAUGGAGGGACGGAGAAGGUUAGGUGUACCGGGCGUUGGUUGUCCCGGGGAAAGGCGGUAGGUUUGAAUCUUUGGCAAAUCCGGGAUUCUUUAAGACCGAGCACCGAGACGAGCCUUUAUGGCGAAGUCACUGAUACCACGCUUCCAGGAAAAGCUCCUAAGCUUCAGCUCACGAAGACCGUACCGUAAACCGACACAGGUGGGUAGGAUGAGAAUUCUCAGGCGCUUGAGAGAACUCGGGUGAAGGAACUAGGCAACAUGGCACCGUAACUUCGGGAGAAGGUGCACCCUUUUUGGUGGCUCAUGCGAGCUAUAGCUGAAGAGGGUCGCAGAAACCAGGCCGCUGCGACUGUUUAUCAAAAACACAGCACUCUGCAAACACGAAAGUGGACGUAUAGGGUGUGACGCCUGCCCGGUGCUGGAAGGUUAAUUGAUGGGGUCAGCCGCAAGGCGAAGCUCUUGAUCGAAGCCCCAGUAAACGGCGGCCGUAACUAUAACGGUCCUAAGGUAGCGAAAUUCCUUGUCGGGUAAGUUCCGACCUGCACGAAUGGCGUAACGACAGCGGCGCUGUCUCCACCCGAGACUCAGUGAAAUUGAAAUCGCUGUGAAGAUGCAGCGUUCCCGUGGCAAGACGGAAAGACCCCGUGAACCUUUACUAUAGCUUUACACUGAACGUUGAGUUCGUCUGUGUAGGAUNCCCGAGACUCAGUGAAAUUGAAAUCGCUGUGAAGAUGCAGCGUUCCCGUGGCAAGACGGAAAGACCCCGUGAACCUUUACUAUAGCUUUACACUGAACGUUGAGUUCGUCUGUGUAGGAUAGGUGGGAGGCUAUGAAACUGUGGCGCUAGCUGCAGUGGAGCCAUCCUUGAAAUACCACCCUGUCGUGCUUGACGUUCUAACCUAGAUCCGUUAUCCGGAUCAGGGACCGUGUAUGGUGGGUAGUUUGACUGGGGCGGUCUCCUCCUAAAGAGUAACGGAGGAGCACGAAGGUACGCUCAGCGCGGUCGGACAUCGCGCACUGUGUGCAAAGGCAUAAGCGUGCUUGACUGCAAGAUCGACGGAUCAAGCAGGUACGAAAGUAGGUCUUAGUGAUCCGGUGGUUCUGUAUGGAAGGGCCAUCGCUCAACGGAUAAAAGGUACUCCGGGGAUAACAGGCUGAUACCGCCCAAGAGUUCAUAUCGACGGCGGUGUUUGGCACCUCGAUGUCGGCUCAUCACAUCCUGGGGCUGUAGUCGGUCCCAAGGGUAUGGCUGUUCGCCAUUUAAAGUGGUACGCGAGCUGGGUUCAGAACGUCGUGAGACAGUUCGGUCCCUAUCUGCCAUGGGCGUUGGAAGUUUGAGAGGGGCUGCUCCUAGUACGAGAGGACCGGAGUGGACGAACCUCUGGUGUUCCGGUUGUCACGCCAGUGGCAUUGCCGGGUAGCUAUGUUCGGAAGCGAUAACCGCUGAAAGCAUCUAAGCGGGAAGCGCGCCUCAAGAUGAGACUUCCCGGGGCACAAGCCCCCUAAAGGAACCAUAUAGACUAUGUGGUUGAUAGGUCAGGUGUGUAAGUACAGCAAUGUAUUGAGCUAACUGAUACUAAUGAUCCGUGCGGCUUGACC